CUUCUUAGAGGGACAAGCGGGAGAACCCGCACGAAAUAGAGCAAUAACAGGUCUGUGAUGCCCUUAGAUGUCCGGGGCCGCACGCGCGCUACAAUGGCGGUGUCAACGAGUCAGACCUUCUGGCCUGAAAAGGUUGGGCAAACUGGUCAAUCACCGUCAUGACAGGGAUCGGGGCUUGGAAUUAUUCCCCGUGAACGAGGAAUUCCUAGUAAGUGCAAGUCAUAAGCUUGCGCUGAUUACGUCCCUGCCCUUUGUACACACCGCCCGUCGCUACUACCGAUUGAAUGGUUUAGUGAGGUCCUUGGAUUGGCGCCAUUUCGGUGCCCCGAAAGGUGGCUACCUAACCGGUGCUGAGAAGACGACCAAACUUGAUCAUUUAGAGGAAGUAAAAGU
rnacentral:rRNA from 1 species